CAGAAGUUUAUCUAAGAAUCAGAAGCUGAGCACCUCAGCAUGGAUCCUACCAAGAAACUAGCAACCAGUCUGGAGAAGCUAAUAAAGAAUAAAGAUUUUCCACCUAUCUUCCAGCAUAGAAAAGUAAAAAACGCAUUGUGCCCAAGACUAUUUGCGUACGCAAAAUCGCAUAAAAACCCGUUGGAAAUGACACCUAUCGUAGAAAAGAGGUAUUCCCCAACCUACAACUUUGAAGUGAAACUAGCAAAAUGGUGUAAUCAGAUCCUUAGACUCUACGAAUAUGUUGUGAAUGACGCCCGGGAA
rnacentral:lncRNA from 1 species